CCUACGGGUGGCAGCAGUGAGGAAUAUUGGUCAAUGGCCGGAAGGCUGAACCAGCCAUGCCGCGUGAAGGAAGAAGGUUUUCGGAUUGUAAACUGCUUUAGACAGGGAAGAAAAAAGACAGUACCUGUAGAAUAAGCUCCGGCUAACUACGUGCCAGCAGCCGCGGUAAUACGUAGGGAGCAACCGUUAUCCGGAUUGAUUGGGUGUAAAGGGUGCGUAGACGGAGAAGCAAGUUAGUUGUGAAAUCCCUCGGCUUAACUGAGGAACUGAAACUAAAACUACUUCCCUUGAGUACUGGAGAGGAAAGUGGAAUUCCUAGUGUAGCGGUGAAAUGCGUAGAUAUUAGGAGGAACACCAGUGGCGAAGGCGACUUUCUGGACAGUAACUGACGUUGAGGCACGAAAGUGUGGGGAGCAAACAGGAUUAGAUACCCGGGUAGUC
rnacentral:rRNA from 1 species